rnacentral:rRNA from 1 species
UACGAGAGGCCCAAACGUUAUUCGGAUUUACUGGGCUUAAAGAGUUCGUAGGCGGCGCAGAAAGUAGGGUGUGAAAGCCCUCGGCUCAACCGAGGAAUUGCGCCCUAAACUACUGUGCUUGAGGGACCUAGAGGUGAGCAGAACAAGAUGGUGGAGCGGUGAAAUGCGUUGAUAUCAUCUGGAAUACCGGAGGCGAAGGGCGGCUCACUGGGGGUCUUCUAGACGCUGAGGAACGAAAGCCAGGGGAGCGAACGGG